UACGAAGGGGGCUAGCGUUGCUCGGAAUCACUGGGCGUAAAGGGUGCGUAGGCGGGUCUUUAAGUCAGGGGUGAAAUCCUGGAGCUCAACUCCAGAACUGCCUUUGAUACUGAGGAUCUUGAGUUCGGGAGAGGUGAGUGGAACUGCGAGUGUAGAGGUGAAAUUCGUAGAUAUUCGGAAGAACACCAGUGGCGAAGGCGGCUCACUGGCCCGGUACUGACGCUGAGGAGCGAAAGCGUGGGGAGCGAACAGG
rnacentral:rRNA from 1 species